AUUGAACGCUGGCGGCAUGCCUUACACAUGCAAGUCGGGCGGCAGCACGGGGCAACCUGGUGGCGAGUGGCGAACGGGUGAGUAAUGCAUCGGAACGUACCUUUCAGUGGGGGAUAACGUAGCGAAAGUUACGCUAAUACCGCAUAUUCUGUGAGCAGGAAAGCAGGGGAUCGCAAGACCUUGCGCUGAUUGAGCGGCCGAUGUCAGAUUAGCUAGUUGGUGAGGUAAAGGCUCACCAAGGCGACGAUCUGUAGCGGGUCUGAGAGGAUGAUCCGCCACACUGGAACUGAGACACGGUCCAGACUCCUACGGGAGGCAGCAGUGGGGAAUUUUGGACAAUGGGGGCAACCCUGAUCCAGCCAUGCCGCGUGAGUGAAGAAGGCCUUCGGGUUGUAAAGCUCUUUCGGCCGGGAAGAAAUCGUAUGAGCUAAUACCUGGUGCGGAUGACGGUACCGGCAUAAGAAGCACCGGCUAACUACGUGCCAGCCGCCGCAGUAAUAC
rnacentral:rRNA from 1 species